rnacentral:lncRNA from 1 species
ACCACUUUUUGUACUGUGAUUUUUGGUGUUUUGUACAGUACGGGGGUACUUGUAGAUCUUUCUUACUUAUUCUUAAACCGAACAACAGAAACGACUUUAUGUCUUUGGUUGCUGUCUGAAAUUUAUAAGUAAAACUUUUAUAAGUUCAAAUACUUUAUUCUGGAUGCGCACAUAAAAUCAGUGCGGCAUCCAGGGACGCAUUGCUUUUUAUACCAGAUUAAGAAUUAAGAACCUUUGACCAAUGAAAUAAAAGAAUCUAAAUAGUUUCCAAGACAAAGUAUAUUUUUAUCGCGUCAGUAAAUAAUUUAAACUCUCUAUCCCCUAAAGGUAUGGCCUGAGCUUAUGGUUAUGUAAUACAAUGGGCCUUAAUUGUCUGUUUCCUUAUUAUCAGGUCUUACAAAAAAUGAAGGAGAUAAAUUGAUUUACUAAUCCCUUUUGUUCUUCUUGACCAAAAGCUUUUCACACUUAGUUACAAACAAGAAUUGAGCUAUUUAAAAUGACAUAUAAAAUUUUGAAUAUUAAUAAAAAAAAAAAAGAAAUAAAAUAUUUUCAUUAGUCAAAUUUCUGAA